rnacentral:misc_RNA from 1 species
GAUUGUGUUGUGGCUACAAGUGGGAUUGAUAACACAAUAAAGAUUUGGACUCCGACUGCUUCCAUCCCAUCAAUUGUAGCUGGAGGAUCAACUGGGCCAGAAACUUCUAAUGUGUUGGAAGCCAUGGAAAGCAAUCAACGAAGAUUAAAUCAUAAUCAUGAAGUCUUCUUUUGCAGCCCCUUUUUUCGGAUGCAUGAAUUUGCUGAAGGAACUUUGCACCCUCUUGAGUGUGCACAGAGCUAAUCAUGAUCUGCCUUUAUUGAACAAUGCAAUGUUAUCUGAUGAAUUAUAAGGUUCUGCAAAAGCUCGGGAAAAAAGAUACAGGCAGCCAAUCACUUCUGGUCGUAGGAAAUUAAUUGACCAUGUAAAGCCGUUUGAGGUCCCUGAAAAUAAGUAGCAACCCCAAAUAAAGAAUUUCCAUAGUUAUCUUGUAGAGCCUCAAUCACUUUUCUCCCGAGCUUUUGCAGAACCUUAUAAUUC